GAUGAAGAACGUAGUGAAAUGCGAUAACUAAUGUGAAUUGCAGAAUUCAGCGAAUCAUCGAGUCUUUGAACGCACAUUGCGCCCCCUGGUAUUCCGGGGGGCAUGCCUGUCCGAGCGUCAUUGCUGCCCUCAAGCACGGCUUGUGUGUUGGGCUCCGUCCCCCCGGGGACGGGCCCGAAAGGCAGCGGCGGCACCGAGUCCGGUCCUCGAGCGUAUGGGGCUUUGUCACCCGCUCUGUAGGCCCGGCCGGCGCCAGCCGAUAACCCAUCAUCCUUUUCAGGUUGACCUCGGAUCAGGUAGGGAUACCCGCUGAACUUAAGCAUAUCAAUAAGCGGAGGA
rnacentral:misc_RNA from 1 species